GGCUCAGGAUGAACGCUGGCGGCGUGCCUAAUACAUGCAAGUCGAACGAGGUGCCUUUGUAGCAAUACGAGGGUAUCCUAGUGGCGAACGGGUGAGUAACGCGUUGGUGACCUACCCCAAAGUGUGGGAUACCAGUUCGAAAGGACUGCUAAUACCGCAUGUGGUCAUCGGGUUCAGAAACCGAUGUCGAAAGCAGCAAUGCGCUUUGGGAGGGACCUGCGUCCCAUCAGCUAGUUGGUGAGGUAACGGCUCACCAAGGCGACGACGGGUAGGGGACCUGAGAGGGUGGCCCCCCACAAUGGAACUGAAAUACGGUCCAUACACCUACGGGUGGCAGCAGUAGGGAAUAUUGCACAAUGGACGAAAGUCUGAUGCAGCAACGCCGCGUGCACGAUGAAGGUCUUCGGAUCGUAAAGUGCUUUUCUGGGAGAUGAGAAAGGACAGUAUCCCAGGAAUAAGUCUCGGCUAACUACGUGCCAGCAGCCGCGGUAAAACGUAGGAGGCGAGCGUUAUCCGGAUUCACUGGGCGUAAAGCGUGUGCAGGCGGUUCGGUAAGUUGGGCGUGAAAUCUCCCGGCUUAACUGGGAGAGGUCGUUCAAUACUACCGGACUAGAGAGCAGUAGAGGAAGAUGGAAUUCCCGGUGUAGUGGUGAAAUGCGUAGAUAUCGGGAGGAACACCAGUGGCGAAGGCGAUCUUCUGGACUGUUUCUGACGCUCAUACACGAAAGCUAGGGUAGUAAACGGGAUUAGAGACCCCGGUAAUCCUAGCUGUAAACGAUGUGAACUUGGCGUCGGUGGCUUAAACACCAUCGGUGCCGAAGCAAACGCGAUAAGUUCACCGCCUGGGG
rnacentral:rRNA from 1 species